UCCAGCACCAAAAAAAAAAAAAAAAUUGGGCUGGGGUUGUGACUCAGUGAUAGAGUGCUCACCUAGCAUGCAUGAGAUACUGGGUUCGAUCCUCAGCACUACAUAGAAAUAAAAUAUUUUUUAAAAGAGUUGUUGUUUGAUUAAAAAAAGAAGAAGAAAGAAAAGAAAGAAAGGCUGGGGAUGUGGCUCAGUGAUUAAGCAACCUUGGGUUCGACCCAGUAAACUCAUCUUGAAGGAUAACACGACAGGGCAUGAGAGUUUGAGAGAGUCAGCUCAGCCUUCUGAGCUUAUUUGAACAUCAGAAAUAUCAGCUAAAUCCAGACAAAGUAGAAAAUAAUAUCAGAAUUUCUCAGAUGAUAAAGACAAUGAGGUGAGAAACAAAUUCAUGCAUAGAAUAGCUACUAAAGUAACCCACAGUUACCUUUAUUAGUAUACUCCUAAAGUGGAGAUUUAAAAAUGGUAAUGUGACAUGGGACCCAUAAAGAAGGAUGAAGAGUGUAGGCUCAACUAAGGACCCAUCUAUAUGGAAUACAUCAAAAGCCAGAGUCCCUGUCUACCCCACAGAUGUACUUUGCUUGAGUCAGCCUGGGAUUCCUGUCCCUUGUGUGCUCACUCCCUUCUGACUCAACCAAAAGUCCCUAAUAAAUCCUUGCCUAUACUUAAAUUCUUUCAGGGUCUGGUGCUCAUUUCUACAACUCUGGGUCCAAAAACCCAAGCUUCCUUAAUGGUGUUAGGUUUGUUAACAGAGGUGACAACAGGGGCUGGGAAGAUGGUCUACUCCUGGCACUGUUCAUCAUCACCAGGCAACAGGUGAAGGCCAAGAACUGCCACACUUUGACAGCCUGUAAUCCCAGCGGCUCAAAAGGCUAACACAGGAGAAUCGAGAAUUCAAAGCCAGAUUCUGCAAAAAGGAAGGCACUAAACAAACUCACUAAGACCCUGUCUCUAAAUAAAAUACACAAAAAUAAGUCACUGAGCUCAGCUGCCAGGAUGGGAGGAGAGGUGGACACCAGACCAAAAGAAGCAGAGAAUAACUGUGGAUGGGUGAACUACUGCCUGUCUGUGCCUGAGUGAGUUAACAGCCUGGUGUAUAUUCUUCCAUGGACACCCCCUCCCAUUUCACACAAAUAUAAAAUUCCCUUGUUUGUUCUAAAAAUGGUAUUGUAGCUGGGUACAGAGGCUCACUACUGUAAUCCAAGUACCUGAGGCUGAGACAGGAGGAUUGCAAGUUCACAUAGCUCAGGUCCACAUUGUGGACCAAGUUCAAGGCCAGCCUCAGCAAAUUAGUGAGAUCCUUAGCAACUUAGUGAGAACCUGUCUCAAAAUAAAUAAAAUAAAAUAAAAGGACUGGGGAUAUAGCUCAGUGGUAAAGCAGCUCUGGGUUAAAUCCCUAGUACCAAUAAAUAAAAAAAUAAAAAUAGUGCUCUCUACAACCAGCAUUUCUUGCCAAAUACAUCAUGGAUAUAACCUUCAAGUCAGUAGAUAGAGAUCUGGAUUAAGAACAAUUAAAUUUAAUUAAAAAUUUAAUUUUUAAAUUUUUUGAGAGACUAUCUUGCUAAAUUGCUCAGGCUGACCUCAAAUUAAUAUUUCAUAGGAUGUUAUUUCCCAGUUUGUUCAACUAUCCUCCCUUCAUAGACAAUCAGGUGGUUUCCAGUCUUCAUUACUGCCAACAAAAUUACAACAAAUAAAGUCAUUUAUAUUUAUGAA
rnacentral:lncRNA from 1 species